GAGUUUGAUCAUGGCUCAGAUUGAACGCUGGCGGCAGGCUUAACACAUGCAAGUCGAACGGAACCUUCGGGUUUAGUGGCGAACGGGUGAGUAAUACCUAGGAAUCUGCCUAUUAGUGGGGGAUAACGGCUCGAAAGGGUCGCUAAUACCGCAUACGUCCUACGGGAGAAAGAGGGGGAUCUUCGGACCUCUUGCUAAUAGAUGAGCCUAGGCCGGAUUAGCUAGUUGGUAGGGUAAAGGCCUACCAAGGCGACGAUCCGUAGCUGGUCUGAGAGGAUGAUCAGCCACACUGGAACUGAGACACGGUCCAGACUCCUACGGGAGGCAGCAGUGGGGAAUAUUGGACAAUGGGGGCAACCCUGAUCCAGCCAUGCCGCGUGUGUGAAGAAGGCCUUCGGGUUGUAAAGCACUUUAAGCGAGGAGGAAGGUCUUUAAGCUAAUAACUUAAAGAAUUGACGUUACUCGCAGAAUAAGCACCGGCUAACUCUGUGCCAGCAGCCGCGGUAAUACAGAGGGUGCAAGCGUUAAUCGGAAUUACUGGGCGUAAAGCGCGCGUAGGCGGUAUGUUAAGUCGGAUGUGAAAUCCCUGGGCUCAACCUAGGCAUUGCAUCCGAUACUGGCACACUAGAGUGUGGGAGAGGAAGGUAGAAUUCCAGGUGUAGCGGUGAAAUGCGUAGAGAUCUGGAGGAAUACCGAUGGCGAAGGCAGCCUUCUGGCCUAACACUGACGCUGAGGUGCGAAAGCAUGGGGAGCAAACAGGAUUAGAUACCCUGGUAGUCCAUGCCGUAAACGAUGUCAACUAGCCGUUGGGCUCCUUGAGGGCUUAGUGGCGCAGCUAACGCGAUAAGUUGACCGCCUGGGGAGUACGGUCGCAAGACUAAAACUCAAAUGAAUUGACGGGGGCCCGCACAAGCGGUGGAGCAUGUGGUUUAAUUCGAUGCAACGCGAAGAACCUUACCUGGCCUUGACAUGUCUGGAAUCCUGCAGAGAUGCGGGAGUGCCUUCGGGAAUCAGAACACAGGUGCUGCAUGGCUGUCGUCAGCUCGUGUCGUGAGAUGUUGGGUUAAGUCCCGCAACGAGCGCAACCCUUUUCUUUACUUGCAGCACUUCGGGUGGGAACUUUAAAGAUACUGCCGGUGACAAACCGGAGGAAGGCGGGGACGACGUCAAGUCAUCAUGGCCCUUACGGCCAGGGCUACACACGUGCUACAAUGGUCGGUACAAAGGGUUGCUAACCCGCGAGGGCAUGCUAAUCUCAAAAAGCCGAUCGUAGUCCAGAUUGGAGUCUGCAACUCGACUCCAUGAAGUCGGAAUCGCUAGUAAUCGCGGACU
rnacentral:rRNA from 1 species